AGAGUCCCUGCAGAAAGGAAAUGGAUUUAUCUGUCAUGUCUGCUUCGCUUUAACGUGAUAACAGCGUACUCUAACACAGUCAAUAACCACUUUAUGUAGUUGUCACGGGCAAAGUAGUAAAGCUAACUGCUGUGUAAUACUGCAGUCUUUAAUUAAACGCUGUAAUUACAGGUAAUCAGUGUUGGAAGAAGUACUCCUUUACUUAAGUAAAAGUACAAUUAUUACUGUCUUCAAACAGAAGUACAAUUCCUGAUUUCAAGUACAAAAGUAAUAGCUAUACGCAACGUAAAAGUACUCAUUCUGCACAAUGGACUAUUUCAGAAAAAUAUAAAGACACUCCAGCACGGCCAGGUUGUUGUUCCAGGAGUGUUUGGGGCAGAGCCGCGUCAGGUCUUCCCUGCAGACCCCUUCCUCGGACAGUUUCCAGCCGGUAGAGGAGCGCCUACGAGGCAGCGAGGCCCCUCCAACGGGGAGCCUCUCCACUGGAGCCGGGAGCCUCUCCACUGGAGCCCCGGGAGGAAGAAGAUUCAGGUCGGGGUUCGCAGGGAUCUUUGCAACGAGUGGGUUGUUUUGGCAUUGAAUUGGAUGCAAAGAAGAGAAGAUGCAGAGGAAAAGCAGGAGCAGAGGAACACGUAUACAGUCCGCCAUCUUCACCCAGUCUGCUACCGCUACAGCUGCGUUCAGGAGCUGCGGGGAAUGUGACGAGGCAGUGGCGGCUCUCCGUCUCCACCUGGAUGUCGAUGCAGCCGGUGGACUCCAGCGGCAGGAGGUGGGGUCUGUAGGUGGUCUCGUUCACCUGCUCCCAGAAACAUCCACCCUCCAGAGAGCCGGCGAUCAGACCGCCGCACGGGAACGAGCUGGAGGCCGCCCGCGGGACGUAGCAGAGGGACGCCACGGGACACCUGGAACACAACCACUGCCGUCUUAGUGGCUAGAAGAGGAUUUUCAAAAUAAAAUACAUCCUGAUGUUAUAGUGUGUGUGUGUGUACCUGGAGCGCAGCGGCUGCAGCUCCUGCACGUGUGUGCUGGUGUCUCUGGUGUCGUAGACGAGCACCGAGCCGUUGCUCAGGCCGGCGUAGACGUAGUUACUGUUGUCCAAACACCAGCAGCAGCUCCACACGGGCUUACCGGCAUUAUAGGUCUGAACCACCGUGUUGGUCAGCAGACUACACACACACACACACACACACACACACAAACACACACACACAAGCAAGUGUCUAAAUGAGACGACUAAACGUCAUCACACCAAACAUUAGCCUCCUUUAGCUUAGCGGUGGUGACGUGAAGUCAUGUGACCGUGCUGUAGUUCCUUUAUAGCGAAACAUUAGCCGUGUGUGUGUGUGUACUGUAAGUAUAAUCAAUACAUUGAAACGGAACAUUAAAUGAUAUCAUUCACUGCUUCCAGACGGUCGUACCUGAUGUUUUUAGCCUCAGUUAGCAUGUAGCUUAUAUUUCAUCGUAUAUAUGAGUAGAGGGAGAACGACGCGUGGAGUUACAUACCAAACACACCCCCUCUAGCUCUCACUCAUUGAUGCUGCAAUAAUACUAGCACAGGUCUAAUAACCCGUAAACCUCAGAAGCAUUGUAU